rnacentral:rRNA from 1 species
AUACGGAGGAUCCGAGCGUUAUCCGGAUUUAUUGGGUUUAAAGGGAGCGUAGGUGGAUUGUUAAGUCAGUUGUGAAAGUUUGCGGCUCAACCGUAAAAUUGCAGUUGAUACUGGUCGUCUUGAGUGCAGUAGAGGUAGGCGGAAUUCGUGGUGUAGCGGUGAAAUGCUUAGAUAUCACGAAGAACUCCGAUUGCGAAGGCAGCUUACUGGACUGUAACUGACGCUGAUGCUCGAAAGUGUGGGUAUCAAACAGGAUUAGAUACCCUGGUAGUCCACACAGUAAACGAUGAAUACUCGCUGUUUGCGAUAUACGGCAAGCGGCCAAGCGAAAGCAUUAAGUAUUCCACCUGGGGAGUACGCCGGCAACGGUGAAACUCAAAUGAAUUGGCGGGG